rnacentral:rRNA from 1 species
GACAGAGGCCUCAAGCGUUAGGCGGAAUCACUGGGCUUAAAGCGUGUGUAGGCGGAUCGUUAAGUGUCUUGUGAAAUCCCACGGCUCACCCGUGGAACUGCUGGGCAUACUGGCGAUCUUGGGCCAACUAGGGGCAACUGGAACAAGCGGUGGAGCGGUGAAAUGCGUAGAUAUCGCUUGGAACGCCAAAGGUGAAAACAGGUUGC